AAGGAAUAUUGGGCAAUGGACGCAAGUCUGACCCAGCCAUGCCGCGUGCAGGAUGAAGGCCUUCUGGGUUGUAAACUGCUUUUAUCUAGGAAGAAAAUGUCCUUGCGAGGAAAACUGAUGGUACUAGAUGAAUAAGCACCGGCUAACUCCGUGCCAGCAGCCGCGGUAAUACGGAGGGUGCAAGCGUUGUCCGGAUUUAGUGGGUUUAAAGGGUGCGUAGGCGGCGUAAUAAGUCCGUGGUGAAAGCCAACAGCUCAACUGUUGAACUGCCAUGGAUACUGUUAGGCUUGAGUACAGACGAGGUAGGCGGAAUGGAUCGUGUAGCGGUGAAAUGCAUAGAUACGAUCCAGAACUCCGAUUGCGAAGGCAGCUUACUAGGCUGUAACUGACGCUGAGGCACGAAAGCGUGGGGAGCGAA
rnacentral:rRNA from 1 species